AUCCUGCUCGGUACAAGAGGGAACCACAGGUUCAGACAUCUGGUGUCUGUGCUUGGCUGAAGAGCUAGUGGUACAAAGCCCCCGUCUGGGGGAUGACUGAAUGUAUCAAAAUCCUAGUCCU
rnacentral:ncRNA from 1 species